CUGAGAGAUAGCUCAGUUGGAAGAGCAUGAGAUUCUUAAUCUCGGGGUCGUGGGUUUAAGCCCCAUACUGAGUGAAAGA